CAACCCAGUUUAGAUUUUUGUAGUGUAGGUUUAUUUUUUCCUAAUUUAAUUUGUUUAGAAUCAACAAUUUCCCAGUAAACAUCAGCACCUAGCAGUAUGUCUAUUUCAGAGGGUAUAUAGUAGGUAGGAUCUGCUAGGUUUAUAGAUUUAGGAAAGUUCAAAUCAGAGGAGUCAAUAAAGGAAUUAGGCAAUGUGCCAGUAAUCUGAGGCACAACAAGACAUUUUACAUUAGUCUGAAAUAAGUUAAUCCGCGAUUUAAGUUUUAUGUUACACAUUUUAUUAGUAUUAGUCACUUUAUUAUUUAUACCAGCAAUUGAUAUGUUUGUAUUGGAACAAGACAAGUUCAUUUUUCUCUGCAAUCUUUCAGUAAUGAAUGAAGACUGACUUCCAUUGUCUAAGAGAGCUUUAACCGUAUAAUUCUCAGAAGAUCGACUGUCAAUUAUAUUGACUUGAGCAGUGCAUAGCAGGAUCUGCCCAGGUUUUGCCACAGAGUGUGACACAGGAUUAAACAAAGCAAUAGUAGAAGUUACCUGGGAAGAACUAGCUUCUUGAGGAGAAUUUGCAAGAGUGAUGAUUACAGUGAGUGGAGAAAUGACCAGGACGCAGACAAUUAUGACAAAGCUUAUGCUUGGAAAUUUCAUUAAAUCUAGCAUCUACAGACAUAUUCUUAAACUUUUCACAUUUAUAUAGUAAAUGAUCUUGUGAACAUA